rnacentral:lncRNA from 1 species
CCGGAAGCCUGGCGCAAGGUUGGUCUGCAGGUGGCCUCCAGGUGCAAAGUGGGAAGUGUGAGUCCUCAGUCUUGGGCUAUUCGGCCACGUGCCUGCCGGACAUGGGACGCUGGAGGGUCAGCAGCGUGGAGUCCUGGCCUUUUGCGUCCACGGGUGGGAAAUUGGCCAUUGCCACGGCGGGAACUGGGACUCAGGCUGCCCCCCGGCCGUUUCUCAUCCGUCCACCGGACUCGUGGGCGCUCGCACUGGCGCUGAUGUAGUUUCCUGACCUCUGACCCGUAUUGUCUCCAGAUUAAAGGUACGACAUUUGGAGGCCCCAGCGAGAAACGUCACCGGGAGAAACGUCACCGGGCGAGAGCCGGGCCCGCUGUGUGCUCCCCCGGAAGGACAGCCAGCUUGUAGGGGGGAGUGCCACCUGAAAAAAAAAUUUCCAGGUCCCCAAAGGGUGACCGUCUUCCGGAGGACAGCGGAUCGACUACCAUGUGGGUGCCCACAAAAAUUCCACCUCUGAGUCCUCAACUGCUGACCCCGGGGUCAGUAGACACGGGGUUUCACCAUGUUGGCCAGGCCGGUCUUGAACUUGUGACGUCAGGUGAUGCACCCGCCUUGGCCUCCCAAAGUGCUGGGAUUACAGGUCCAGAUUUUGAACAAAUCUCGCUAGAGAUUGAACAGAGCUGCGCCUGGAUCCCGCCACAGUGAGGAGACCUGAAGACCAGAGAAAACACAGCAAGCCCCUGGAUCCUCCUGGAAUCCCCGAUCCCUCUUGCUCCCUGGCAGAGUUUUCUAGUCCCUCUUACUUGAAGCAUGUCUUUCAGAGCCCGGCACCACCCAUCUUGAGUAUCUGGUGGAUUUUCACAUCUCAAGCCAGCUAAGAGUAUGGGAAAUAGGACUCGUUAAAGCACAGAUAUCACACAAGUGAUUCAGAUUCACGAGGGUAAUCCAGAUGAAGAUACCCCAUCAGCCUGAGUCUCUUAAAGGCCUUUAUACACAUAUGUCUACACAUAGGGAUUUGGAUGAUCUCGGGAUCCCACAUCCUCGCUGUCCCCUGUCCCCCCGCAACAUCCCCCACCAAUACCUUUCUGAAGUUUUCUAGUCCCUCCUUUUUGUUUGUGCUCCUUAAAGCCCAGCCCCAUGCCUGACUUUGGUUCCCAGUGAGCAUUGUACAUUUGUGGAUAUUAAAUCUUUGGCAAAGUCAUUUACCUGGGCUGGAAUAGGGCUCUUGGCUGAUUCUUUUUCCUAAACACCCACCCAAUGGGAGAGGCUGAUACUCAACAUGCAAACCUUGUGUUUUAUUUCUCCAGGCGAAGGGAUGUUGGAAGACAUUCUGGAAGGGGUGGGGUGUGAAGAUUUACAAAUAAUCUUUGAAUAUCUGCUUCAUGAUAGGUCUUGGAGGUGCCUUGUGGGUGUGGCUUUGGGGGGAUGGUUACGAGGAAAUUGUGGAUAUUAAGGAAGUCAGGAAAGGAAAAGAUCAGUCACAAUUCAACAAUUCAGAGAAAGCUCCUAAGGGACUUUCUGGCUGCUUGAUGCCCAGAGGCCAGGCCCUCACUUCGUAUUAAGGCUCAGGACUGUGGAUAGAGAAUUUAAAGGGGCACCAAAAAAAACAUUAAAAUAGAUAAACAUAUUUUUAAUGGAAUACCUUUAAAAAUGCAAAUCAAUGCACAAAGAAAACGCCCA